CUACCAAAUUAGAUGAGUGAGUUAUUUUCAUGUAAUCUGUGCUUCUUGUGAGAUCUCUCGGUACCAUAGUCAGCGGCUCCUAGAAACACGGCCUUAAACUGUCAGACUCUCCCGUGGAAACAGCUCAGUUUGGGAGCAAUAGACACACCCUCUACUUUUAGAGCCCUGCUUUAAACAAAGUAGAGGCUGCUUUGUUUAAAGCAGGGCUGGAGCAGGCACGCUUGACUCACCUGAUAUUUAUGCUGUUGUAUGCCCAGGGUGCUGGGAGACUUCCCAUGAUGCACUAAGCAUUUCCUUCUUUUUCUUUUUACUCCUGCUGCUAAUAUGCCACUACUCUAUGCAACUAAUGUUUGGCCACUCUCUCGUGGAUUUUAUGUUUACACUGUCUACACUCCUCUUUCUUUGGUCACAACAGAUGGUUGUGCCUCCCUGAGCCUAUGGGAGACGUGGAUAAAACAGUGUUCUUCCUCACCACAGUCGCCAAGCCCUACCUUAAUGGGGAUUAUCAGAUUGCAGGGGUUCUUCCUCUAAUACUGUAAAUGGUAUACAAGUAAAGAUGAACAGAACUGAUAGAAAAAAUAUAAAACUAAUCAGUGUUCCUUUAGUCUGUAGCUACGCUGCCUGUUCCAUAUACUCAAAGUAGCCUGUCCAUAUGCUGAGCAUUAUCUGCUCUAAUCCUAGUGUGACCCAGUGAGACUGGAUGCCGCAGCAAGUCUGAUCCUACAGGUGAUUCACACCUACAGUAAAAUCUACACGCAUCUGAUCUCUUUACUGGACUUUAAAAUGCAAAGCAAGCAACAUUUCACAGCCCUUUCUGUGUUUCUUUUCCAAUGAAUGGCAGUGCAGUGUUGUUUGACUUCACUGAACAAUGUGUAAAUAUUCAGCUUGCAAUCAUUUAUAAAUCUCCAGCUUGUAAAUAUCCCAGUUAUUAUUAUUAGGUUCUUUCUCAGUGGGCUUAAUCAAACUUCUGUCCACUCCGGACGUCACAACUACGUUAAUUAUACACAGUGGUUGGUUUUAUUUAUUUUGUUUUUAUGCAGCUGGCUUUACAGGUUCUGCAGACUGUAGAAUACCUGAGGUUGAAUUUCGUACAAGGCUUGUUUUCUCAUGUAUCAGUGUUUUAUGAAAGCCUGACAACUAAAGAAUAAAACAAAACCAAAGGAAACUAAGAUCACACCUCGACUAAAUUUGAAAUUUAAUAUCUGAUGUGGGAUUCUUACUCCACAUUCUAGUAAUCUCGAGGCGAGGGAUGUUCUACUUUCGCUCGCACAGAGUGGCUCAUCUCCCUUAAUAAAUUAUCUUUGAGACCCCUCUUCCGGUUUCUUGUUGCCCAGGUAACUAGUGCAUUCUCACAGCUUACCUUUGGAUAAUUUAUGAAAGGAAAUCUAGUCCACAUUAAUACUUCCUACAAAGAUAAAAAGUAAUGUCCGGGUAUGAGGAUCGGGCUCUGCUGGAGCUGAAUCAGAGCAGGGAGACGUGGUGUCAGGUGGAGAUGAACCCCCGGCAGGGCUGGGAGAGAUCACAGAGGAGACAUUACCGGAGUCACUUGAAGUCCAGCUCGGUUCUCCUUACAGCUCUGACCGGCGGACCGCAGCGCAGAGAGGCCUGCACCCAGCGGCCUGCCCCCAUCAAGCUCCCGGAGAGAAGGCACUUCGAGGAGGGCUACCCAGCCUCAGUAGGUCCUUUCCACCUCAUUGGAUGGUUUUGCAGAAAAGGAGAGCAUGGCUGUUUAACGUGCUAAAUCUGAGCCUCAACCCUGAAUCAUGAUAAAACUCACCUGGUCUAGAGAGCUGCAGCCUUAGAAGAUGACCUGAGCUCAUACUGCAGAUACACCAGAGACCCAGACGUGGGGCAACUUUCAAUAUUUUAUUUUCACAACUAAUAUAUGACGUGAUACAAAACCCCAAAUACGCUGGAGAUCAUGGCACAUGAGGUCUUAAAAGAUUUGAUUGUACUUGUUAUUGACAGUACCGAAAUUAAAAACUCAUUUUUAAAAAAUAAUUUCCAUGCAUCACUCGCUUUGGUCAAGAAAGACACAUCUCAUUAAUUAUUAAAAUCAUCUGCAAGACUUUGCAAAAAGCUUCUAGCUUGUGUGAAACUUAAAAAAACCCUCAAAAGUAAAGAAAAACCUUUCUGAUAUUCAAACGUUAGCAGUGUUCAUCACGUGUUUAAAAAAGUUCACAGCCUCGCAGUGAAACAUUGAGAGGCGGACAGUAGUAAUAGGGCAUCGUCACUGAUCUCUAGAAUCGAUUAGAUUCCGAUUCACAAGGUCCUGAAUCGAUUCGAUUCAAUUCGAUUCGAAUCUGGGAAAUUUUGCCUCAGACAGUC